GAAUGUUGAAGUAUGCAAAGGUAACGCAUUAGAUAUAAACAGGGGAGCAGAAUUCCCCUUUGUUUCUUGCUGUCAUUUAUAAGUCAUUUUACUUUGCCAAGUUCUGCGAGUACAAAGGAUUCAUUUUGAAGAUGUUGAAUAAACUUUACAGACAGAUGAUGUUUCCUGAAUCAACUGCUUUCUUUUUGAUUGCUCUUGUGUUCAGUUCCUCCACUGGUUCAACUGAAGAAUUAAUAAAAAUCAGAGAAACAGAAGAAACUAAAGCAGAAGGGUCAUGUGUCACCAUCCCGUGUACCUACAAACAUGGAAAUAACGAUAAACUUCUGUGGUUUAAAGAUCCAAUAUAUGAUAAAAUAUUAUAUACUGGGACAAUCUUAUACAGUAACACAGCUGAUCGUCCUCAGUCACCAGGUUACUCCAGUAGAGUGGAAUAUAUUACAGGUAAAGACACAGACUAUUGGAGAAAUGUGAUUUAAAAAUCAAUGAUCUACAAAAGACAGAGACAGUGGAAACUACAACUUUAGACUCAUUCGUUCAGACGUAUACACAAAGUUCUUGAGCACAGCUAUGAAACUCACAGUCACAGACAAUCCUUGCAAACUGAACAUUGAACCAUCAGAGAUGAAGAAUUUAGUCAAACAAAAGGAUGAAUUUAGUGUUCACUGUUCAACAUCUGAUUCAUGCCCAUCUUAUCCUGAGUGGUUUCUCCUAAAACCAGGAAAAGAACCAGAGUUUAUUUAUCAGUGAAAUUAGACCAGAAGAUAAAGGCUCUUACCACUGCAAGGCCAACAACGGAAUAAAAACAGCAGACUCCAGAUAUCUGUAAACUGUAAGUAUGAUGGUUUCAUUGAGGCUGAUUUUCUUGAUUUUGACAAUAUGAUAUAUUAUUUUCUGUACAGCUGCAGAACCAAUUGAGGGACCACUCCAGUUUUGCAUUUAUCCACCUCAGUCUGUUGACUUCCAAAAAAACCCAAGGACUACUCAAUUUAAAGUCGGCAUGAAGCGGAAGUAGCGAUUGUCUUUUCUUCCGUAUCGUGACGUAUAUUCGAAUGAAACAACUUCUGAAAUGAGAACAAAUGUAGGAUGUGACUUGAUUUCAUUCAUCAAGUACUGAUUGGAUUGUUGAAAGUUGGCCGUCGCCAAUAAAUGGAGUCAGAUUAGCGCCAAUACAUACGUAUGACUAUCUUUAUAAGUUUGGUGUUUUUUAGGUCCAAAUAGUAAGACUUCAAAAAUGAUUAACUAAUUACACUGAAAAUGACAAACUCCCUUAUGUUUAAUACAAAAACAUACAGACUUUAACUUUAAUCCAGUAGACACCAACUAGAUUGAUUUUAGUUUAUUAUAAAAUGAAAAGUUCCACUUCUGAAUGGUCAUUGGUUAAUAGCGGUGAUUUAGGCUAUUUACAAUAAAGUGGACGUAUGACUAGUGACUACUUCAAGUUGAUAUUGUUCAGAGCCAUUGAGAAAGAGUUCUCUCAAAGUUAGUAAAACAACAUUUAAAGAAGUAAGACAUUUAAUUAAUAAAAAAAAUAAGAAUUGAAGCAUUAAAAGAGAAAAUAUAACUUCCUGGAACUAUCUGAAGGCUCCAUGAAUCACAUAAAUUGUUUGAACUUCCGUUGUCACGACAUAACUAGAGCAUCAUGUAAGGUUUCUAUUAUUCGUAACAAGGUUAUGUGUUUCAUUACAGUGAAUACACACACAUGAAAGUAUAAGUAUAAUGUCCUGUUGCUUUGAGUAUAAAUGUCUGUCAAAUGCAUAAGUGUUACAUCAUAGCUUGUAUUUAUAAUUGUUUGUCUGCAUUAAGUAAGGCCAACUUUUCUUCCAGAACUGCUUUUACCAUCAUUAAUAAACUGCUUAAGAAAUUUAAAUAAAAAAUGUAAGAACUUACUCUCUUUGAUUUUUUAUGUCAAUGAUGGCGAUUUCACUAUUGAUGUGAUGCGAUACACAUGAUCCUACAAGAGUAAAACUAUUCAUCUCAUAAAU